rnacentral:rRNA from 1 species
UACGUAGGGCGCAAGCGUUGUCCGGAAUUAUUGGGCGUAAAGAGCUCGUAGGCGGCUUGUCACGUCGGUUGUGAAAGCCCGGGGCUCAACCCCAGUCCUGCUUUCGAUACGGGUGGACUAGAGGUAGGCAGGGGAGAACGGAAUUCCUGGUGUAGCGGUGAAAUGCGCAGAUAUCAGGAGGAACACCGGUGGCGAAGGCGGUUCUCUGGGCCUUACCUGACGCUGGGGAGCGAAAGCGUGGGGAGCAAACAGG